GAAAAGUGGGUCUGGACACAAGGUUAAAAUACUGGAAAAGAUCAUUUGGACACACAACCCAAGUCUUGCAGGCAAAAGUAAGGUGGUGGGAAAAGCAGCAGGUCGGCCUGCGAUAAAAACCUAGGGGACAGGAGUUCCCAUCAUGGCUCAGCGGUUAGCGAACCUGACUAGCAUCUAUGAGGCUGCGGGUUCGAUCCCUGGCCUGGCUCAGUGGGCUAAGGAUCCAGCGUUGCUGUGAGCUGUGGUGUAGGACAGAAAACCAUGGAAAAACUGCAGCAAGGAUAGGGAAGUGACAGGGACAUUUGGCAAAGGAGCAAGGUAAAAGGCAGCCCAAAGAGAGCGAACAGAUGUAGAGGCAGAGCCACAGACUGAAAGCUGGCAGGCUGAGUGUGCUCGGGGCAUGAGACAGGUCUCAACUCUCCUUGUUGUGAGUGAUCUUAGAGGGAACAGCAGUGAAGGCCCAUUCCGGCUUCCUUGGGAAAAUCCAGUAAACCAAGAGGUGGGGUUCCCUGAGCUUCCCCAGGCCCUCUCCCUGACUACUCAACGCAGGAUCAUUCUGGGGGAGAUCCCAGCAUGGACAACCCGGAGUGCUGAGGACACAGGACAAUGUCAAAUAAGACAAGGGUACACGAAAGAACUCUGAAAACCAUAAAGCACCUUAUAAAAAUGUGAAUCUCUCAGACAAAAAAAAAAAAAAGACAAAGACCAGAGUCACAAUCUGGAGUGAAGAAUAUUUGUCAAGUACAGAUAUAUAUAUACAUCCCAAAUCAAGAUGCCCCUAACUAGACAUUCUAGUAACUUGAGAAGACAUAUCGGUUGGUAUGUUAACUUUCCUGUCCAACACUUUUCGGCACUGAAAAACUCUACCUAAGGCAUAAUAGGGAGCUCCUGGUAAACUAUCCUACUGAUCUAUGAAAAUGGACAUCUGAAUCUAAUGUAUUUCCAAGGAGGUUUCUGACACAAUGCAGAUCUUAACUAAUUAGGUGAAUUCCAUUCAAUGCAAUCACUCAUUGAAUGACUUCCAAGUGCACCACCACCAGCCACCAUCA
rnacentral:lncRNA from 1 species